rnacentral:rRNA from 1 species
UACGUAGGGGGCUAGCGUUGUCCGGAAUCAUUGGGCGUAAAGCGCGUGUAGGCGGUCCGGUAAGUCCGCUGUGAAAGUCGGGGGCUCAACCCUCGGAUGCCGGUGGAUACUGUCGGACUAGAGUACAGAAGGGGCAACUGGAAUUCUCGGUGUAGCGGUGAAAUGCGUAGAUAUCGAGAGGAACACCUGCGGCGAAGGCGGGUUGCUGGGCUGAUACUGACGCUGAGGCGCGAAAGCCAGGGGAGCGAACGGG